AAACAUGUUAGGGGGGCAUUGCUUGGUGAGCAGCUUGUACCUCUCCCAGGCUUCAUAGAAGGUCUCACCAUCUUUAUGCAUGAAGGUCUGAACCUCCACCCUUAGCUU